AGAGUUUGAUCAUGGCUCAGAUUGAACGCUGGCGGCAGGCCUAACACAUGCAAGUCGGACGGUAGCACAGAGGAGCUUGCUCCUUGGGUGACGAGUGGCGGACGGGUGAGUAAUGUCUGGGAAACUGCCUGAUGGAGGGGGAUAACUACUGGAAACGGUAGCUAAUACCGCAUAACCUCGCAAGAGCAAAGUGGGGGACCUUCGGGCCUCACGCCAUCGGAUGUGCCCAGAUGGGAUUAGCUAGUAGGUGGGGUAACGGCUCACCUAGGCGACGAUCCCUAGCUGGUCUGAGAGGAUGACCAGCCACACUGGAACUGAGACACGGUCCAGACUCCUACGGGAGGCAGCUGUGGGGAAUAUUGCACUAUGGGCCCAAGCCUGAUGCAGCCAUGCCGCGUGUAUGAAGAAGGCCUUCGGGUUGUAAAGCACUUUCUUCGGGGAUGAAGGUGGUGAGGUUCUUCCUUCCCCCUCUUUUAUCUCUUCACUU
rnacentral:rRNA from 1 species